rnacentral:lncRNA from 1 species
CUGCAAGCUCCGCCUCCUGGGUCCACGCCGUUCUCCUGCCUCAGCCUCCCGAGUAGCUGGGACUACAGGUGUGAGUCACCACGCCCAUCUGAGAGUGAUUCUUAAUCACAGGCCACAGGAUACUGCUCUUGCCCAUUCCUAGUUUGUUCCAGCUGUAUCAGACUGCUGGCUGAGCUGUCCUGCUUGUGGUGCUGAGCCAGACAAAGGCUGGUUGGGGAUGUGUAAUAAGGACACUGCGUAGCGAAGCAGCCCCAGAGACAUUCAGGCAGCCAGAGAUGGUGCACAAAGCAUAGAUAAACAGAUAAAUGCAAGGGUCUUUACUCAUCCCUCCCUGGCCCUCCCCAUGGCUCUGACUCUCCAAGAAAAUAAAUCAAGCUAAUGCCCCAAACCCAGCUGUGUAAGUCCAUAAUGGGAGACAGAGGAUCAAACAGCAGCACCUGCCAAGAAGAUGAUGCAUUCUCUAUGAAUCAGCCCAGUGACUCAGCAUCUGAUAAAGCUUAUUUGGAGUGUUUAGGGCAAGGGAAGGGGUGGUCCUGUUCUGCUUUGUGUGCUCAGGCCCUCCGGCAUUGGCUGGUCCAAGGCUCCCCACUGGCAUUGGCUAGUCCAGGGCUGGGCCAAGGGUUUCAAGAGAGAUGAGGUCCAGAAUGUCAAAGGGCUGGGGAAAAGUCUGCAAACCACGGCAAGGCAAGGAGCUGCAAGCCUGGAGGU